rnacentral:rRNA from 1 species
AUUGAACGCUGGCGGCAGGCCUAACACAUGCAAGUCGAACGAGUGGCGGACGGGUGAGUAAUGUCUGGGAAACUGCCUGAUGGAGGGGGAUAACUAAUGGAAACGGUAGCUAAUACCGCAUACCAUCGGAUGUUGCCAGAUGGGAUUUGCUAGCAGGUGGGGUAAAGGCUCACCUAGGCGACGAUCCCUAGCUGGUCGGAGAGGAUGACCAGCCACACUGGAACUUAGACACGGUCCAGACGCCUACGGGAGGCAGCAGUGGGGAAUAUUGCACAAUGGGCGCAAGCCUGAUGCAGCCAUGCCGCUUGUAUGAAGAGGGCCUUCGGGUUGUAAAGUACUUUCAGCGGGGAGGCGUUACCCGCAGAAGAAGCACCGGCUAACUCCGUGCCAGCAGCCGCGGUAAUUC